UAAGGUGCCUAUAUCGGCGGAGUCCACCUCUUCCCAUCCCGAACAGAGAAGUUAAGCCCGCCAGAGCCGAUGGUACUGCUGUAAAAAGUGGGAGAGUAGGUCGGUGCCAAAU
rnacentral:rRNA from 1 species